rnacentral:rRNA from 1 species
GUCGAGCGGUAGAGAGAAGCUUGCUUCUCUUGAGAGCGGCGGACGGGUGAGUAAUACCUAGGAAUCUGCCUGRUAGUGGGGGAUAACGUUCGGAAACGGACGCUAAUACCGCAUACGUCCUACGGGAGAAAGCAGGGGACCUUCGGGCCUUGCGCUAUCAGAUGAGCCUAGGUCGGAUUAGCUAGUUGGUGAGGUAAUGGCUCACCAAGGCUACGAUCCGUAACUGGUCUGAGAGGAUGAUCAGUCACACUGGAACUGAGACACGGUCCAGACUCCUACGGGAGGCAGCAGUGGGGAAUAUUGGACAAUGGGCGAAAGCCUGAUCCAGCCAUGCCGCGUGUGUGAAGAAGGUCUUCGGAUUGUAAAGCACUUUAAGUUGGGAGGAAGGGCAUUAACCUAAUACGUUAGUGUUUUGACGUUACCGACAGAAUAAGCACCGGCUAACUCUGUGCCAGCAGCCGCGGUAAUACAGAGGGUGCAAGCGUUAAUCGGAAUUACUGGGCGUAAAGCGCGCGUAGGUGGUUUGUUAAGUUGAAUGUGAAAUCCCCGGGCUCAACCUGG